AUUGUAGCUAACCCGGAUGUAAGGAGGAAUGGUGAAGUGUUUUCUUGCGUCUUUUAUUGUGUUACGUAUUUUAACUGUAUGUUUUAUUUUGUUUCAAAGAUAUUGUGACCUCUUUAGUGGACCACAGAGUUAGUCAAGUUUCGGUUAAAAUAGACGAAUCCUUCACAAUAAACUUUGUGACUUGUGGACGUGAUUUGCCAUGCAUGUAUAAUUGCUGAAUCUCUUCUUUAUGACCCAUUUAUAAACUACAAGAAGUACAUGUGCUGCUCUUAUUGCUUUUACAUUUUUACAUUUUAGCGCACGGUAUUGAAAAAUCAAUUUUUGUAGAAAUAUACAAGUACAUGACUGUAUAUAAUUAUAUGUUUCUGUCUUAUCAGUAAUUUUCAGCAUAGAAAUUGGGAAGGAAAAUAAGUAAACAUUUAAUAUACAGCCUUUUACUUAUUUGCCAUGUUGUGGACAUUGAAUUUCAGACAUAUUUCAGUAAAAACAAAAGUAUAUUGCAGCUGCUUUUGGAAAUCAGCGUAGACAUUGUUCAGAUGAUUGAAUAUCAUUUUCUUCAGUUUUGUUGGAGAGCCCGCUGGUUUUACUUCACAUCACAGUAAAAAUCUCGGCCAAGGCAAUAUUUUCCAGAUUUGUGAACACACUUGGAGCCAUAUUUUUCGACAUUGUACACACAAAUGGAAAAAAAUCUUCAUUUUGCAAUUUAAGGUAAAAGUUGAUAUUUAUUCUGAGUGUGAUCAUAAUAUUAUAUAACUAAUGAUAACCCCCUUCAUCUACCGUAAAACUGGUAUGUGUAGUAAUGUAUUGUUCAUUGCCUAAAAGUACGAUUAGAAUUUGGUUAUUGAUUAAUGAUUACGUACACCAUGAGAUUAAAUAAUUGCAAACAUGACACAUGUAAAAAUUAACUACAAGUUCAUGUAAUACUAACAUGCGAACGCCACUUUAUUCAUAAAAUCAUCUACAGCAUUUAUAUUUUUAGCAUUAAAAUUAAUUGUAUUGCAACAUAUUUUUUCCUUACCCUUUUUUAUCCAAUAAAUUGCAGCUUCAAAUGCUGAACAACAUCUUGGUAAUUGCCAAUUGUUCGAUGAAGUUUAUAAUUACCCUAUAUGUUAUGCUAACUUACAAUACACCGUUAACUAGUAUUCUUAACGACAAAACGACAGCACAUAGGCAGAUGACAUUCCAAGCUACAGAACGUGUCCCCAAUCCCAACUGUAAAUUAGUACAAUAAAAAUAUAUUCAAAUCAACGACAAAAAAUGUAGUUUCAUUGUCAAAAGCAACUGGUUUGCAAGAUUGAAAGUGUACCAUUGUUACGAAGGAUUGUUUAUAGCUUGUGCUGAAGUUUUUAGUUUAUCUUAUUACACAGUCCAAGUUAAUCUUAAUUGGACUACGAUAGUUAUUCUGGCCAGUCAUUAUUUAUGAUUUUGAAUAUAUUCAAACACUGUCCGUAUAAAUUUCAUUUUUUCAAUACCAAUAAACUGUUUUAAAGACUAAGUACUAGUUUGGUAACUAAUUUGUCAUCUACACAACAUCUAAUGUACUCGUAUAGAUUCAAUUCUGUACCUAUGCGGGAUUUGAAGAACUUGAGAAUUGGAAUAGUUAUAUAAUGUUGUUCUUAUUUAUCGAGUACUUUAUUCGAAUGGAAUAUUUUCUGGGUUUGAACUUUAACUGCAUGUUUCUAUUUAGUUGUAUUGUUAUCUGGUUGUUGACUUUGGUUGUUAACUCCGAUAGCUGUACAAUUGCUUAAAUAUCGUGGUGGCUGUGAGAUUACUGAAUAGCUAGAAGUUUGAAUCAUCUUAGUCUGUGGUUCAGCUGACAGACUGUGAUGCUAGUUGGAGCCAACGUGUGACGACAUUUACCUCAACAACAGUUUAAAAGAAUGGACGGUGGACGGUGUUAACUGCGUUGGCUGUUGAACAAUUCAGUUGAUAUAUAGAGUGCAUUAAACCGAAUAAAAUUACGUUGUUACGU
rnacentral:sRNA from 1 species